GCAAACAGAGAGCAGCCAAAUUCAGUAUUUUGCCUCUUCUUUUCCUCUAUACAUCACCCGCAUUUCUCUUGAUUCUGCUCUACAACCGGAAAGAUUCAGCAUUCAGGUUUUCGUAUAAUGGAUGAAAAUGCCGAGAAGGAAUCUAGACAUAUCGCAUCUGAUGAAAUUGGGAAGGCUACAGGACAGGAAUGCAAUACUAUCACAUUUUAAUGAACCUUCAGAGCGUUGCUUUGCUCAAGUUGCUCCUGAUUUCAAUAGGAAUACGCGGCUCUUAAACUCUAUGAAGACUGAUCUUGAUUAUGUAUUCCUCAAGCUAAGAAGCAUGAAGGGUAUUGUGUAGCUGCGUAUCCUGAUUCAUUUUCGGAUGGUUCAACAACUACAAUUUAAAAUGAAAGACCAGACUUAGAAAACUAAGAAAAGGCACAGUGAUAAAUCCUUCUUUCUGAGAAGUGCCAAAGAUAAGCUGAGUUCUGAGAGGAAAAGCUGGGGAAAGCAAUGGAAGGAUUAGUAGUGAUGUCUUCGUUGAGUUCGAAACCAAUAACUCCAUGUCAAGAGAGAGUGGCAGGCAGUAUUCAAGGCCUUCCAUCCCUAGCAAGAUUGUUGGGACUGAUGGUGGCAUGAAUUUGAAGGAUGGCAUUCAUGCAUCUGGAAGAAAGCCCACGGGAAAGGGUGGCUGUCAGUACAGGGACAAGUGGUAACAUUGAUGGAUACAGAUUGUUCAUGUAUACUGGGGUUUGUUAAUGUUGAGCAAUGAAAUUGUUGAGCAUGGACUUGAAGGGAGGUGCUGUUGCAUCUGGAAGAAAACCCGCGGUAAAGGGUGUUUACCACACUGGCAAAGUCGGUGCUAACGUCAAUGGAUAGAGACUCGUGGGACAUAACUACAGGACCAAGCUGGAUGUUGGUUACAUAGACUCGUUCAUUGUUGUGGAUGUGGCUCACUUUGCAAUGCUAGAAGAGGAGUUUUAUAGUUAAGGAACCUGCUCAAAGCUUCAUUAUCAGUCUUAAAGACCAAGAUGAUUCUAGUUUUAGCUCAAGACUCGGCUUGAUGGGCAUGCUGGCAUCUUUCUAGAAGUCCCCAGAUUCCCAGAAUUAUCUCUGGUUAGAAAAAUAAGUCUAUAAUGGUUAUUUUGAUUGCAGAUUUACUACAAAUUAGUUUUUAUUUUGCCCUUAAAACUUCUGCCUGUCAUUUCUGUCCGAGGACGACACCCCCAAACAAAAUAAUCAGAAAGCUUAUUUUGAUGUAGAUUCAAAUCCAU